rnacentral:lncRNA from 1 species
GGAUAAACAAAUGAAGAUACGGCAUAUGACUGUACUAAUUUGCUUUGUGCCCUCACAACCAGGUGGACACAUUGCCGCCGCAGAAUGUUCCCAAACCUUCCGAGAUCGCUGUAACGCAGCCAUUGCAAGAGCCUCGAUUGCACAGCACGAAUACCUCAACGACUGCAUUACCCGACAAAGGGCACAACGUUCCGUCCAGUCUUCGAGGCAACAAUAUAUGCACGGGCUGCCCCUGCCGUGCAUUGGCACAGCGGAUAAGGGCCAAACUGGACCAUAGCGUCGACCCUUGUACGGAUUUCUACGCGUACGUCUGCAAUACCUUCAGAGGCAACGACGAGUUUACCCACGCUCAGGAUUCCGUUCGCGUCUUCACCCUAUUACGUCUCAUCGUUCCGAAUAUACCGGAAUCCAAUCAACUUUCCUGGCAGAAAGCAGCUGGGAUGUACCACGCCUGUUUGAAUUUUGCCUCGUCUUACGAACCUGAGACCCAGUAUCUCGUCGAGUGGAUGAGGUCACGAAACCUGGACCUUACAAACGACACGAGAUUGGCGACCGUGAAACCGGUUGAGAUGAUGGUGCGCGCCUCUCUUGACCUCGGGCUCCACGUUGUGAUU